AUGGGCUGUGGAGAUGGAGGUUGCCCCCUCCUCAGGGAGAAGCUGGGUUGGCUGCGUCAAGAGAACGACUCCCUGGAGAACAGACAGCUCAUUAGGGACCUGGAGGUGGCCCAGAUUGAACUGGGCAGCUCCAAGACCAAGGUACUUAGUGAGAACAACCAUGAAUGUGAAGAUCGUUGACGUUCACUAGGUGGGGAUGCUAAAUGGUUUCUCUGCUCAGAUCCUGGGCUUGGAGGCCGAGGUUGAGGCCUGAACUUCUACACAUACCGAUGCCCUGAAAUUCUGAAAAUGUUGUAUUGUUCUAUUUAGUUUUGUCACGAUACCAACAUUUCCCAACUUUAAAAACAUUAGGCACCAAACAGAAUUUAAGGAGCACCAGAAAGAUAUAUUUUUUAUAUACACUGCUCAAAAAAAUAACGGGAACACUAAAAUAACACAUCCUAGAUCUGAAUGAAUGAAAUAUUCUUAUUAAAUACUUUUUUCUUUACUUAGUUGAAUGUGCUGACAACAAAAUCACACAAAAAUGAUCAAUGGAAAUCAAAUUUAUCAACCCAUGGAGGUCUGAUUUUGGAGUCACACUCAAAGCUAAAGUGGAAAACCACACUACAUGCUGAUCCAACUUUGAUGGAAUGUCCUUAAAACAAGUCAAAAUGAGGCUCAGUAGUGUGUAUGGCCUCCACGUGCCUGUAUGACCUCCCUACAACGCCUGGGCAUGCUCCUGAUGAGGUGGCGGAUGGUCUCCUGAGGGAUCUCCUCCCAGACCUGGACUAAAGCAUCCGCCAUCUCGUGGACAGUCUGUGGUGCAACGUGGCGUUGGUGGAUGGAGCAAGACAUGAUGUCCCAGAUGUGCUCAAUUGGAUUCAGGUCUGGGGUAUGGGCAGGCCAGUCUAUAGCAGCAAUGCCUUCCUCUUGCAGGAACUGCUGACACACUCCAGCCACAUGAGGUCUAGCAUUGUCUUGCAUUAGGAGGAACCCAGGGCCAACCGCACCAGCAUAUGGUCUCACAAGGGGUCUGAGUAUCUCAUCUCGGUACCUAAUGGCAGUUAGGCUACCUCUGGCGAGCACAUGGAGGGCUGUGCGGCCCCCCAAAGAAAUGCCACCCCACACCAUGACUGACCCACCGCCAAACCGGUCAUGCUGGAGGAUGUUGCAGGCAGCAGAACUUUCUCCACGGCGUCUCCAUACUGUCACAUCUGAUGACUAACUCAAAUCAAAUCAAAUUUUAUUUGUCACAUACACAUGGUUAGCAGAUGUUAAUGCGAGUGUAGCGAAAUGCUUGUCUUCU
rnacentral:lncRNA from 1 species